CAGAGUGUAGCUAAAUAGCUCAGCGCCUCAUUUACACCGAGAAGAAAUCUGUGCAAUUCAGAUCACUCUGA
rnacentral:tRNA from 1 species